UUUCCACCGUCAUCCAGAGCAGGACAAACACGCCAGGUGGUGUCAGGAGCCUAGGUCUCCAGCUGGAGGGAACGUCAACCCUGCAGUGGGAGCCCAUCAUGCAUCCUAGGCACAGAUGCUAAUGUAGGCACCGCAGACCAUAAAGGAAAACAGCAAGAGGUCCCCAGCAAACAUCUACAGAUGGCCCUGGACAUCAGCCACAUUCGGAGAAACAUGUCAUGUUCUGGGAGGGCUAAGGCAUCGA
rnacentral:lncRNA from 1 species